rnacentral:rRNA from 1 species
UGAACGCUAGCGACAGGCCUAACACAUGCAAGUCGAGGGGCGAGCACAAGGAGCAAUCUGAGGUGGCGACCGGCGCACGGGUGAGUAACACGUAUGCAACCUGCCUGUAAGCGGGGAAUAAACCCGUUGAAAGACGGACUAAUACCGCAUAAUACUAAAUUACUGCAUGGUAAUUUAUUUAAACAUUUAUGGCUUACAGAUGGGCAUGCGCAUGAUUAGCUAGUUGAAGAGGUAACGGCUCCCCAAGGCAACGAUCAUUAGGGGUUCUGAGAGGAAGGUCCCCCACACUGGUACUGAGACACGGACCAGACUCCUACGGGAGGCAGCAGUGAGGAAUAUUGGUCAAUGGACGAGAGUCUGAACCAGCCAAGUCGCGUGCAGGAAGAAUGUUCCCUAUGGAUUGCAAACUGCUUUUGCAGGGGAAUAAAGUGCAUCACGUGUGAUGUUUUGUAUGUACUCUGCGAAUAAGGAUCGGCUAACUCCGUGCCAGCCGCUGC